rnacentral:rRNA from 1 species
UGGGGAAUAUUGCACAAUGGGGGAAACCCUGAUGCAGCGACGCCGCGUGAACGAAGAAGGUAUUCGUAUCGUAAAGUUCUGUCCUAUGGGAAGAUAAUGACAGUACCAUAGAAGAAAGCUCCGGCUAAAUACGUGCCAGCAGCCGCGGUAAUACGUAUGGGGCGAGCGUUGUCCGGAAUUAUUGGGCGUAAAGGGUACGCAGGCGGUUUAAUAAGUCGAAUGUUAAAGAUCGGGGCUCAACCCCGUAAAGCAUUGGAAACUGAUAAACUUGAGUAGUGGAGAGGAAAGUGGAAUUCCUAGUGUAGUGGUGAAAUACGUAGAUAUUAGGAGGAAUACCAGUAGCGAAGGCGACUUUCUGGACACAAACUGACGCUGAGGUACGAAAGCGUGGGGAGCAAACAGG